rnacentral:rRNA from 1 species
GGCGUACGGGUGAGUAACACGUGGGUAAUCUACCUUUGGGUGGGGAAUAACUCAGGGAAACUUGAGCUAAUACCGCAUAAUGCAGCGGCUCGACAUCGAGACAGUUGUUAAAGCAGCAAUGCGCCUAAAGAGGAGCCUGCGCCUGAUUAGCUAGUUGGUGAGGUAACGGCUCACCAAGGCUUCGAUCAGUAGCUGGUCUGAGAGGACGGCCAGCCACAAUGGCACUGAAACACGGGCCAUACUCCUACGGGAGGCAGCAGUGGGGAAUUCUGCGCAAUGGACGAAAGUCUGACGCAGCAACGCCGCGUGAAGGAUGAAAUCUUUC